UACGUAGGUGGCAAGCGAUACUCGGAAUCACUAGGCGUAAAGCGCAGGUAGGAGGUUUAGUAAGUCUGUUGUGAAAGCUCCCGGCUUAACUGGGAGAGGUCAACGGAAACUGCUAGGCUAGAGUGCGGUAGAGGUAGCUGGAAUUCCCGGUGUAGCGGUGAAAUGCGCAGAUAUCGGGAGGAACACCUAUGGCGAAGGCAGCUCGCUGGGACGUUACUGACGCUGAGACGCGAAAGCGUGGGGAGCGAACGGG
rnacentral:rRNA from 1 species